GAGAGACUUGUUUAGCCCAACCUUAUUCAUACCUCCUAUUUCCAAGAGCUGGGUUCCAAAGCCACUUUCCUGCUUGCUCAGUGGAGGAUUUCCAGAAAGACGCCUGCAGCAUCUCCUCUGCUCAGCCAUGCUCCUGUUGCUCGUCCCAGUACUGGGGAUGAGUUUUGUCCUGAGAGAUGCUGGUGCCCAGUCAGUGACCCAGCCUGACAGCCACGUCAGUGUCUCUGAAGAAUACUCCCUGGAGUUGAGAUGCAACUAUUCCUAUGGUGGAGCUUUUUAUCUCUUCUGGUAUGUCCAGUACCCUGGCCAAGGCCUCCAGCUUCUCCUCAGAUACUUUUCAGGAGACACCUUGGUUAAAGGCGUCAAAGGCUUUGAGGCUGAACUUAGGAAGAGUGAAUCUUCCUUCAACCUGAGGAAACCGUCUGUGCACUGGAGUGACGCGGCUGAGUACUUCUGUGCUCUGAGUGCCACAGUGCCUGGGACUGCAGGGGGAGCUGAACACAAACUUUGUGAGAUGAUUUCACAGUUGGAAUAUUAG